rnacentral:tRNA from 1 species
GCUGGCGUAGCUCAGUGGCAGAGCAACUGCCUUGUAAGCAGUGGGUCGGGGGUUCAA